ACACUCCUGCGGGAGGCAGCAGUGGGGAAUAUUGCACAAUGGGCGCAAGCCUGAUGCAGCCAUGCCGCGUGUAUGAAGAAGGCCUUCGGGUUGUAAAGUACUUUCAGCGGGGAGGAAGGCGAUAAGGUUAAUAACCUUGUUGAUUGACGUUACCCGCAGAAGAAGCACCGGCUAACUCCGUGCCAGCAGCCGCGGUAAUACGGAGGGUGCAAGCGUUAAUCGGAAUUACUGGGCGUAAAGCGCACGCAGGCGGUCUGUCAAGUCGGAUGUGAAAUCCCCGGGCUCAACCUGGGAACUGCAUUCGAAACUGGCAGGCUAGAGUCUUGUAGAGGGGGGUAGAAUUCCAGGUGUAGCGGUGAAAUGCGUAGAGAUCUGGAGGAAUACCGGUGGCGAAGGCGGCCCCCUGGACAAAGACUGACGCUCAGGUGCGAAAGCGUGGGGAGCAAACAGGAUUAGAAACCCCUGUAGUCCCAUG
rnacentral:rRNA from 1 species